rnacentral:rRNA from 1 species
UACGAAGGGGGCUAGCGUUGCUCGGAAUUACUGGGCGUAAAGCGCACGUAGGCGGAUUGUUAAGUCGAGGGUGAAAUCCUGGAGCUCAACUCCAGAACUGCCUUCGAAACUGGCGAUCUUGAGUCCGGGAGAGGUGAGUGGAACUGCGAGUGUAGAGGUGAAAUUCGUAGAUAUUCGCAAGAACACCAGUGGCGAAGGCGGCUCACUGGCCCGGUACUGACGCUGAGGUGCGAAAGCGUGGGGAGCAAACAGG